rnacentral:rRNA from 1 species
AGAGUUUGAUCCUGGCUCAGGAUGAACGCUGGCUGUGUGCCUAAUACAUGCAUGUCGAGCGGAAGUAGCAAUACUUUAGCGGCGAAUGGGUGAGUAACACGUGCUUAAUCUACCUCUUAGAUUGGAAUACCUAAUGGAAACAUUGGUUAAUGCCGGAUACGCAUGGAGUCGCAUGACUCCGUUGUGAAAGGGGCCUUUAAAGCUCCACUAAGAGAUGAGGGUGCGGAACAUUAGCUAGUUGGUGAGGUAACGGCCCACCAAGGCUAUGAUGUUUAGCCGGGUCGAGAGACUGAACGGCCACAUUGGGACUGAGAUACGGCCCAAACUCCUACGGGAGGCAGCAGUAGGGAAUAUUCCACAAUGAGCGAAAGCUUGAUGGAGCGACACAGCGUGCACGAUGAAGGUCUUAUGGAUUGUAAAGUGCUGUUGCAAGGGAAGAAAAAGUAGUUGAGGAAAUGCUUCUACAUUGACGGUACCUUGUUAGAAAGCGAUGGCUAACUAUGUGCCAGCAGCCGCGGUAAUACAUAGGUCGCAAGCGUUAUCCGGAAUUAUUGGGCGUAAAGCGUUCGUAGGCUGUUUAUUAAGUCUGGAGUCAAAUCCCAGGGCUCAACCCUGGCUCGCUUUGGAUACUGGUAAACUAGAGUUGGAUAGAGGUAAGCGGAAUUCCAUGUGAAGCGGUGAAAUGCGUAGAUAUAUGGAAGAACACCAAAGGCGAAGGCAGCUUACUGGGUUUAUACUGACGCUGAGGAACGAAAGCGUGGGAGCAAACAGGAUUAGAUACCCUGGUAGUCCACGCCGUAAACGAUGAUCAUUAGUCGGCAGAGAACUGUUGACGCAGCUAACGCAUUAAAUGAUCCGCCUGAGUAGUAUGCUCGCAAGAGUAAAACUUAAAGGAAUUGACGGGGACCCGCACAAGCGGUGGAGCAUGUGGUUUAAUUUGAAGAUACGCGGAGAACCUUACCCACUCUUGACAUCCUUCGCAAAGCUAUAGAGAUAUAGUGGAGGUUAACGGAGUGACAGAUGGUGCAUGGUUGUCGUCAGCUCGUGUCGUGAGAUGUUUGGUCAAGUCCUGCAACGAGCGCAACCCCUAUCUUUAGUUACUAACGAGUCAUGUCGAGGACUCUAGAGAUACUGCCUGGGUAACUGGGAGGAAGGUGGGGAUGACGUCAAAUCAUCAUGCCUCUUACGAGUGGGGCAACACACGUGCUACAAUGGUCGGUACAAAGAGAAGCAAUAUGGUGACAUGGAGCAAAUCUCAAAAAGCCGAUCUCAGUUCGGAUUGAAGUCUGCAAUUCGACUUCAUGAAGUCGGAAUCGCUAGUAAUCGCAGAUCAGCUAUGCUGCGGUGAAUACGUUCUCGGGUCUUGUACACACCGCCCGUCACACCAUGGGAGCUGGUAAUACCCAAAGUCGGUUUGCUA